GUGCCAGCAGCCGCGGUAAUACGGAGGGCGCAAGCGUUGUUCGGAAUCACUGGGCGUAAAGCGCGUGUAGGCGGCUUGGCAAGUCGGCUGUGAAAGCCCGGGGCUCAACCCCGGAGGGUCAGCCGAAACUGCCUCGCUCGAGUCCCGGAGAGGGUGGCGGAAUUUCCGGUGUAGAGGUGAAAUUCGUAGAUAUCGGAAGGAACACCAGUGGCGAAGGCGGCCACCUGGACGGUGACUGACGCUGAGACGCGAAAGCGUGGGGAGCAAACAGGAUUAGAUACCCUCGUAGUCC
rnacentral:rRNA from 1 species